CAAAAUCCUCCUUCUCGUUUACGUAUCUCGUUCUAAAUAUCCGUUGUCUUUUUCAAAUGCAUCACACAAUUAACAAGAAUAUAAAACACACAAGUAGACAGAACGAAUAAGCAACUACUUUUGGAACAUAUGAAUCAUUGAAACAUCAACGAAAGCAGAUAUUGUGAGCGCUCGUGUGAGAAUAUAACGAAGUAAAGUGUGAUCCGACCAAUGAACAUGCCUACCAAUAUUUCGUUAGUUCGAAUACCGGCAUGUUUUUAAUAACUUCGUUUUCAGUAACUUAUAAUAAUUGAGGAACAA